CCUACGGGUGGCAGCAGUGAGGAAUAUUGGUCAAUGGGCGUAAGCCUGAACCAGCCAAGUCGCGUGAAGGAUGAAGGUUCUAUGGCUCGUAAACCUCUUUUAUAAGUGAAUAAAGUGCGGGACGUGUCCCGUUUUGUAUGUACCUUAUGAAUAAGGAUCGGCUAACUCCGUGCCAGCAGCCGCGGUAAUACGGAGGUUCCGAGCGUUAUCGGGAUUCAUUGGGCUUAAAGGGAGCGUAGGCGGGAGUUCAAGUCAGCUGUAAAAUCGCGCGGCUCAACCGCGACGCGCAGUUGAAACGUGACGCCUGGAGUUCACAACAGGCAGGCGGAAUUCGUGGUGUAGCGGUGAAAUGCAUAGAUAUCACGAGGAACCCCGAUUGCAAAGGCAGCCUGCCGGGGCGCGACUGACGCUGAGGCUCGAAGGUGCGGGUAUCAAACAGGAUUAGAUACCCCGGUAGUC
rnacentral:rRNA from 1 species